AUGUAUAUGCGCGGGCAGCAGCAGCUUCAUGAGGCCGUGGAUCUUGUUCGCUCCGAGAUGUCGACUGACGACAGAUCACAAAUUCACAUAGUUAUAAUAUAUCUCCCAACUUGGAACAGCGACAAAUGGAACACCACAAUGUAUGAAUUACAAAAAGCUUCCACAAAUAAGCAAAAUAAGCAAAUGGAGAGUAGAAAAACAUCAAUUUUCAAAAAAUGGCUUCCCCAGUGGCAGCGCUGGCCUGGGAAGUUGAUGGAGCAGCGCCGGCAUUUCCUCGUCCACUCGAAAGCUCCGUCCUCUGCAGCCUCUCGGGCAAGGCUUCCAUCCCUAUGA
rnacentral:rRNA from 1 species